CUGUAGCUCAGUCGGUUAGAGCGCCAGGUUGUGGCCCUGGAGGCCGUGGGUUCAAAUCCCAUCAG
rnacentral:tRNA from 1 species